UAUUUAACAAUACUGGUUCACCAUCGAUUUCCACCACUCUCAGUUCCAGAGCCUUGCCGUAUUAUCCGUUUUGCCGGCCCAACAGAGGUCACGGCCUUGAGGGGGGGCCGAGAUACCGGCUCGCAAAGUUGCCCUUAGUAGUCGGCUAUGGGAACUGAUCUGCCAGCUCGGGCUGGACUGGAGUUCCAGAGGCACGGCCGCAGGUGUCAAAUUUGACCCACCGAUUGUCCCUGGAAGCCGGCUAUGGGAUGGAUCUGCCGGCUCCGGCUGCAGGGGACAAAUUCGACCCGCUGAUCGGCCACAGAAGUCGCAAUAA